GGCCCAUUGGUCAAGUGGUUAAGACACCGCCCUUUCACGGCGGCAACAGGGGUUCGAAUCCCCUAUGGGUCACCA
rnacentral:tRNA from 1 species